CGGGACACGUGGUAUCCUGUCUGAAUAUGGGGGGACCAUCCUCCAAGGCUAAAUACUCCUGACUGACCGAUAGUGAACCAGUACCGUGAGGGAAAGGCGAAAAGAACCCCGGCGAGGGGAGUGAAAAAGAACCUGAAACCGUGUACGUACAAGCAGUGGGAGCACGCUUAGGCGUGUGACUGCGUACCUUUUGUAUAAUGGGUCAGCGACUUAUAUUCUGUAGCAAGGUUAACCGAAUAGGGGAGCCGAAGGGAAACCGAGUCUUAACUGGGCGUUAAGUUGCAGGGUAUAGACCCGAAACCCGGUGAUCUAGCCAUGGGCAGGUUGAAGGUUGGGUAACACUAACUGGAGGACCGAACCGACUAAUGUUGAAAAAUUAGCGGAUGACUUGUGGCUGGGGGUGAAAGGCCAAUCAAACCGGGAGAUAGCUGGUUCUCCCCGAAAGCUAUUUAGGUAGCGCCUCGUGAAUUCAUCUCCGGGGGUAGAGCACUGUUUCGGCAAGGGGGUCAUCCCGACUUACCAACCCGAUGCAAACUGCGAAUACCGGAGAAUGUUAUCACGGGAGACACACGGCGGGUGCUAACGUCCGUCGUGAAGAGGGAAACAACCCAGACCGCCAGCUAAGGUCCCAAAGUCAUGGUUAAGUGGGAAACGAUGUGGGAAGGCCCAGACAGCCAGGAUGUUGGCUUAGAAGCAGCCAUCAUUUAAAGAAAGCGUAAUAGCUCACUGGUCGAGUCGGCCUGCGCGGAAGAUGUAACGGGGCUAAACCAUGCACCGAAGCUGCGGCAGCGACGCUGAUGCGUUGUUGGGUAGGGGAGCGUUCUGUAAGCCUGUGAAGGUGUGCUGUGAGGCAUGCUGGAGGUAUCAGAAGUGCGAAUGCUGACAUAAGUAACGAUAAAGCGGGUGAAAAGCCCGCUCGCCGGAAGACCAAGGGUUCCUGUCCAACGUUAAUCGGGGCAGGGUGAGUCGACCCCUAAGGCGAGGCCGAAAGGCGUAGUCGAUGGGAAACAGGUUAAUAUUCCUGUACUUGGUGUUACUGCGAAGGGGGGACGGAGAAGGCUAUGUUGGCCGGGCGACGGUUGUCCCGGUUUAAGCGUGUAGGCUGGUUUUCCAGGCAAAUCCGGAAAAUCAAGGCUGAGGCGUGAUGACGAGGCACUACGGUGCUGAAGCAACAAAUGCCCUGCUUCCAGGAAAAGCCUCUAAGCAUCAGGUAACAUCAAAUCGUACCCCAAACCGACACAGGUGGUCAGGUAGAGAAUACCAAGGCGCUUGAGAGAACUCGGGUGAAGGAACUAGGCAAAAUGGUGCCGUAACUUCGGGAGAAGGCAC
rnacentral:rRNA from 1 species